GAUUACGUCAAAUCUCAACUCGCGUGACCUCAGCAGGAUCUCGUACCAAAGUGCUGGGAUCGCAGACCAACCUUCUCAUGCCUCGCUUUUUUUCUCCCCGGAUUUAACACAGGUUCAGACCAAGAAACCGGUUCCUCUUCUAUUCCUUGGCCAAGACCCGGAUUCUUAAAUAAUCCAGGAUUCCUAAGGAAAAGAUCAGCUUUGGCUACCCUCGUAAGUACGCACCAGUUACGCUUCCCGUGUGACGUCCUGAAGUUCAUUCAGUUCAUCUCCACGCCUGGCCAGUGAGGAUUUUGUUCCUGCGCGGCUCGCAUAUCCAGUUAUUCUGCCCUGAGUUCAGCCGAAUUUGGGGAGUUCUCAUUCGCGGAAAGCAUAACGCGCACGGCUGGCCCGGUUCCCUUUACAGGCGCGCUGCUGCUUCCCGGACGUUUGGCUGCAGUGACAGGGCUCCAGGCAGAGCCUUCAAUACCUAAUGGCACCAUUAGCAGUAUCGAUCUGGGGUUUAAGCAGGUUGGUUUUGAGCAGAGUUUAAAACAAGGUAACUGCAAAUGUUGCCACGUAAAUAACGUCGCAUUCAAAUUCAAGAAAAAGAAAAAUAGAAUUGCCACCUUUUAAAUACUCCUCUAGCCAACCGGAUCAAUUUAACCCCUUCAGAUCCACUCAAAGAGACUUAUAAAUGUUUCUACAAGCUAUCUAAAAUAUCUUUUCCUUCCUUUCUGUUGCCCUCGACUUUGUCCAGGCCUGCUCUGUGCCAUCAGGUUCUCAAAAGCGCCAACCUGUCUAAUCGGUCAUUUGUUGUUUAAAUUAUACUCAAGACGUAACUUUUCCUAGCCAUGAAUUUGGUUGCUCUCUUGCCUUUCCUUACAGUUUCGCUGUAACAUCCACCUGUAUAACUAGAUCACGCUAACGAACAUAAAAGUCUUAUCAUGCAAAAACCACAACCAUAGAUUAACCAGAAUAGCUGGCCUCUAAGAAAACCUUAAUUUCACUUUGACAGCAAAAUCGGAUUCAAAAGAUCUCUCCCUGCUGCGCUUUAUUUUUG